GUAGCUAUCUAAAUAUUAGUGGUGAAAUAUCGGAACACCCUCUCUACGGAAAGUCGAGUGCACCGCGACACGUGGAUGAAUAUGGCUAAUCUAUUUAUAAAUUAACAUCGCAAAAUUAAUAAAUAUAUCUAGAAUCAGAAGAACACACUGCGGUGAACGAUUGAAAAGUUUUACCAAAUAAAAUUCUACAUUUUUAUCUUAAACUUAACCAGUCUACUUAGAAAGGGGACAAUAUUUAAUCAAACUUUUAGUAACUGACAAAAUCUC
rnacentral:lncRNA from 1 species